GACGAACGCUGGCGGCGUGCUUAACACAUGCAAGUCGAACGGAAAGGCCCUGCUUUUGUGGGGUGCUCGAGUGGCGAACGGGUGAGUAACACGUGAGUAACCUGCCCUUGACUUUGGGAUAACUUCAGGAAACUGGGGCUAAUACCGGAUAGGAGCUCCUGCUGCAUGGUGGGGGUUGGAAAGUUUCGGCGGUUGGGGAUGGACUCGCGGCUUAUCAGCUUGUUGGUGGGGUAGUGGCUUACCAAGGCUUUGACGGGUAGCCGGCCUGAGAGGGUGACCGGCCACAUUGGGACUGAGAUACGGCCCAGACUCCUACGGGAGGCAGCAGUGGGGAAUAUUGCACAAUGGGCGGAAGCCUGAUGCAGCAACGCCGCGUGCGGGAUGACGGCCUUCGGGUUGUAAACCGCUUUCGCCUGUGACGAAGCGUGAGUGACGGUAAUGGGUAAAGAAGCACCGGCUAACUACGUGCCAGCAGCCGCGGUGAUACGUAGGGCGCGAGCGUUGUCCGGAUUUAUUGGGCGUAAAGGGCUCGUGGGUGGUCGAUCGCGUCGGAAGUGUAAUCUUGGGGCUUAACCCUGAGCGUGCUUUCGAUACGGGUUGACUUGAGGAAGGUAGGGGAGAAUGGAAUUCCUGGUGGAGCGGUGGAAUGCGCAGAUAUCAGGAGGAACACCAGUGGCGAAGGCGGUUCUCUGGGCCUUUCCUGACGCUGAGGAGCGAAAGCGUGGGGAGCGAACAGGCUUAGAUACCCUGGUAGUCCACGCUGUAAACGGUGGGUACUAGGUGUGGGGUCCAUUCCACGGGUUCCGUGCCGUAGCUAACGCUUUAAGUACCCCGCCUGGGGAGUACGGCCGCAAGGCUAAAACUCAAAGGAAUUGACGGGGCCCCGCACAAGCGGCGGAGCAUGCGGAUUAAUUCGAUGCAACGCGUAGAACCUUACCUGGGUUUGACAUGGAUCGGGAGCGCUCAGAGAUGGGUGUGCCUCUUUUGGGGUCGGUUCACAGGUGGUGCAUGGCUGUCGUCAGCUCGUGUCGUGAGAUGUUGGGUUAAGUCCCGCAACGAGCGCAACCCUUGUUCACUGUUGCCAGCACGUUAUGGUGGGGACUCAGUGGAGACCGCCGGGGUCAACUCGGAGGAAGGUGGGGAUGACGUCAAGUCAUCAUGCCCCUUAUGUCCAGGGCUUCACGCAUGCUACAAUGGCUGGUACAGAGAGUGGCGAGCCUGUGAGGGUGAGCGAAUCUCGGAAAGCCGGUCUCAGUUCGGAUUGGGGUCUGCAACUCGACCUCAUGAAGUCGGAGUCGCUAGUAAUCGCAGAUCAGCAACGCUGCGGUGAAUACGUUCCCGGG
rnacentral:rRNA from 1 species